rnacentral:rRNA from 1 species
UACAGAGGUCCCAAGCGUUGUUCGGAUUCAUUGGGCGUAAAGGGUGCGUAGGCGGCGGGGCAAGUCCGGUGUGAAAUCCCGGAGCUCAACUCCGGAACUGCAUUUGAUACUGCCUUGCUCGAGUACUGGAGAGGAGACUGGAAUUUACGGUGUAGCAGUGAAAUGCGUAGAUAUCGUAAGGAAGACCAGUGGCGAAGGCGAGUCUCUGGACAGUUACUGACGCUGAGGCACGAAGGCCAGGGGAGCAAACGGG